GAUGAACGCUGGCGGCGUGCUUAACACAUGCAAGUCGAACGCACCUUCGGGUGAGUGGCGGACGGGUGAGUAACGCGUGGGAAUCUGCCCUUAGGAGGGGGAUAACGGCUGGAAACGGCCGCUAAUACCCCAUAUGCCGAGAGGUGAAACGAAUUUCGCCUGAGGAUGAGCCCGCGUCUGAUUAGCUAGUUGGUGGGGUAAGAGCCCACCAAGGCGACGAUCAGUAGCUGGUCUGAGAGGAUGAUCAGCCACACUGGGACUGAGACAUGGCCCAG
rnacentral:rRNA from 1 species